rnacentral:rRNA from 1 species
CAGAGGGUGCGAGCGUUGUCCGGAAUCACUGGGCGUAAAGGGCGCGUAGGUGGCGUCGCAAGUCGAUGGUGAAAGCUCGCCGCUCAACGGCGAGUCGGCCACCGAUACUGCGAGGCUGGAGCACUGUAGAGGCUAAUGGAAUUCCGGGUGUAGCGGUGGAAUGCGUAGAGAUCCGGAAGAACACCGGUGGCGAAGGCGGUUAGCUGGGCAGUUGCUGACACUGAGGCGCGACAGCGUGGGGAGCAAACAGGAUUAGAUACCCUGGUAGUCCACGCCGUAAACGAUGGGCACUAGAUGCUUGGGGGAGCGACCCCCUGAGUGUCGUCGCUAACGCAUUAAGUGCCCCGCCUGGGGAGUACGGCCGCAAGGCUG